rnacentral:rRNA from 1 species
AUACGGAGGAUCCGAGCGUUAUCCGGAUUUAUUGGGUUUAAAGGGUGCGCAGGCGGGAGAUUAAGUCGGCGGGGAAAAUUUGCAGCUCAACUUUAAAAAUGCCUUUUAUACUGGUUUUCUUGAGUUGGGAAGGAGUAGGAGGAAGUUUUGGUGUAUAGGGGAAAUGCUUAGAUAUCACGAGGAACUCCGAUUGCGCAGGCAGCUUACUAAACCACUACUGACGCUCAGGCACGAAGGCGUGGGGAUCAAACAGGAUUAGAUACCCUGGUAGUCCACGCAGUAAACGAUGAUUACUGGCUGUUUGCGAUACAAUGUAAGCGGCUGAGCGAAAGCGUUAAGUAAUCCACCUGGGGAGUACGUUCGCAAGAAUGAAACUCAAAUGAAUUGACGGGG